rnacentral:rRNA from 1 species
ACGAACGCUGGCGGCGUGCCUAGUACAUGCAAGUAGAACGCUGAAGAGAGGAGCUUGCUCUUCUUGGAUGAGUUGCGAACGGGUGAGUAACGCGUAGGUAACCUGCCUUGUAGCGGGGGAUAACUAUUGGAAACGAUAGCUAAUACCGCAUAACAAUGGAUGACACAUGUCAUUUAUUUGAAAGGGGCAAUUGCUCCACUACAAGAUGGACCUGCGUUGUAUUAGCUAGUAGGUGAGGUAAUGGCUCACCUAGGCGACGAUACAUAGCCGACCUGAGAGGGUGAUCGGCCACACUGGGACUGAGACACGGCCCAGACUCCCACGGGAGGCAGCAGUAGGGAAUCUUCGGCAAUGGGGGCAACCCUGACCGAGCAACGCCGGGGGAGUGAAGAAGGUUUUCGGAUCGUAAAGCUCUGUUGUAAGUCAAGAACGGGUGUGAGAGUGGAAAGUUCACACUGUGACGGUAGCUUACCAGAAAGGGACGGCUAACUACGUG